UAGGCCAGAGCUCAAGAAGCUGCUGAAUGGUCUGGGCCUUCGGGACCCAGAGGGCUUCCUGUUCAAGGAGAUGAUGACCUGGGUCCAGGGCUCCAAACUUAAUUCCAAGGCCAAGCUGCGCUUAUACUGCUGCCAGAAGCUGGAGGGCAUGAUCCAGCAGCUGAAGGUCUGGUGCACAUGGCCUAGCUGGGCUUCUCCAGAGGCAGCCCUGGGGUCCCCUGGGCUACAGGGAUGCCUGCUUUGGCUUCCUGCUCAGGGGUGGGGCACCCGGUCCCUGGGGCUGGGAAUUAGGCAAAAGGGAAUUUCAGUAGCCAAGGAGCAAGGAUGCUUCUUAGACUGGCCACUUCCUCUACAGAUGGAAACUUUACAGCCAUCUACAGCUCAGUUGUCAAUGGUGCUGCCCAAAGGCUCUGAUACCUGGCCGCCUUCCUUUCCUCCCAGGGAGGACCAGUCACAGGCUUCAGCAGUCUCAGGGGCUCCUUCGAGCAUCUUCUGGCCGCAAGCCUCUCAGGCGCUCCUCCAUGUCCUGGAGCCUCCCUUGCUUGUGGUGUCCCCCACAGAAUCUAAAGCUGGAUCCCCAGAGCCCCAGGCUCACUUUUACACUGGGCAGACCAGGCGGUCGCUCUCAGAGACGCUGAAGAGCUUCUGCUCGGUGCCUGAGCCCUCCAUGCCCACUGCACCACAUGGCCUGCCACAGCCGCUGGAAAAGACCGACUGGUCGAAAUGGCAGAUGCUGGACCUGGGCUACGUCGAUGCACUCAACCACUUCUGCGAGCAGCAUCAAGUACAGCAGCAGAGUUUGAUCCAGAAGGAAACCGAACAGCCACCCCGCUCUGCAUCCCCGCGCCCUCCUGUGCCUAACACUGUGGUGGCGCCACCCAGGGAUCAAGGGUGAGUGCAGCGAGGGGGCCCCCUGGCCGGCAUGGGCAGGUGAGCAUUGUCUGUCU
rnacentral:lncRNA from 1 species